GUCUAUGGCCAUGCUACUCUGAAUAAGCCCAAUCCUGUUUGAUUUUGGAAGCUAAGCAGGGUUGGGCCUGGUUAGUACUUGGAUGGGAGACCACCUAGGAAGACUAGGUGCUGUAGGUG
rfam:Pteropus alecto contig12096, whole genome shotgun sequence.